GUCCUCGUAGUACAACGGAUAGUACCAGUGCCUCCUAAGCGCUAGAUACAGGUUCGAUUCCUGUCGGGGACACCA
rnacentral:tRNA from 1 species